CAUACACACACAAAAAAAAAAAAAGAAAAGAACAUCAACGAACACAAAACGGGGUUUCAUAUCUUAAAUUGCCGAAUUCUUUUCUUUU
rnacentral:ribozyme from 1 species